rnacentral:rRNA from 1 species
UUAGUGGAAGCGUCUGGAAAGGCGCGCGAUACAGGGUGACAGCCCCGUACACAAAAGCGCAUGUGCUGUGAGCUCGAUGAGUAGGGCGGGACACGUGGUAUCCUGUCUGAAUAUGGGGGGACCAUCCUCCAAGGCUAAAUACUCCUGACUGACCGAUAGUGAACCAGUACCGUGAGGGAAAGGCGAAAAGAACCCCGGCGAGGGGAGUGAAAAAGAACCUGAAACCGUGUACGUACAAGCAGUGGGAGCACAGGUUUACCUGUGUGACUGCGUACCUUUUGUAUAAUGGGUCAGCGACUUAUAUUCUGUAGCAAGGUUAACCGAAUAGGGGAGCCGGAGGGAAACCGAGUCUUAAUYGGGCGUUAAGUUGCAGGGUAUAGACCCGAAACCCGGUGAUCUAGCCAUGGGCAGGUUGAAGGUUGGGUAACACUAACUGGAGGACCGAACCGACUAAUGUUGAAAAAUUAGCGGAUGACCUGUGGCUGGGGGUGAAAGGCCAAUCAAACCGGGAG